UACACUCCUACGGGAGGCAGCAGUGGGGAAUAUUGCACAAUGGGCGCAAGCCUGAUGCAGCCAUGCCGCGUGUAUGAAGAAGGCCUUCGGGUUGUAAAGUACUUUCAGCGGGGAGGAAGGCAAUACGGUUAAUAACCGUGUUGAUUGACGUUACCCGCAGAAGAAGCACCGGCUAACUCCGUGCCAGCAGCCGCGGUAAUACGGAGGGUGCAAGCGUUAAUCGGAAUUACUGGGCGUAAAGCGCACGCAGGCGGUCUGUCAAGUCGGAUGUGAAAUCCCCGGGCUCAACCUGGGAACUGCAUUCGAAACUGGCAGGCUUGAGUCUUGUAGAGGGGGGUAGAAUUCCAGGUGUAGCGGUGAAAUGCGUAGAGAUCUGGAGGAAUACCGGUGGCGAAGGCGGCCCCCUGGACAAAGACUGACGCUCAGGUGCGAAAGCGUGGGGAGCAAACAGGAUUAGAAAUCCUAGUAGUCCCAUG
rnacentral:rRNA from 1 species